AGCUUUGUAUUCAAAAUGAUUUUAGGUUGCAAAUCUAAAGGUGGAUUUUAAUCCCAAGGCUU
rnacentral:tRNA from 1 species